rnacentral:rRNA from 1 species
GAGUUUGAUCCCUGGCUCAGAACGAACGCUGGCGGCAGGCUUAACACAUGCAAGUCGAGCGCCCCGCAAGGGGAGCGGCAGACGGGUGAGUAACGCGUGGGAACGUACCUUUUGCUACGGAAUAACUCAGGGAAACUUGUGCUAAUACCGUAUGUGCCCGAAAGGGGAAAGAUUUAUCGGCAAAGGAUCGGCCCGCGUUGGAUUAGCUAGUUGGUGAGGUAAAGGCUCACCAAGGCGACGAUCCAUAGCUGGUCUGAGAGGAUGAUCAGCCACACUGGGACUGAGACACGGCCCAGACUCCUACGGGAGGCAGCAGUGGGGAAUAUUGGACAAUGGGCGCAAGCCUGAUCCAGCCAUNCCGCGUGAGUGAUGAAGGCCCUAG